rnacentral:rRNA from 1 species
GAGUUUGAUUCCUGGCUCAGGACGAACGCUGGCGGCGUGCUUAACACAUGCAAGUCGAACGAUGAAGCCUAGCUUGCUAGGUGGAUUAGUGGCGAACGGGUGAGUAAUACGUGAGUGACCUACCUUUGACUCUGGGAUAAGCCUGGGAAACUGGGUCUAAUACCGGAUACGACCAAUCUCCGCAUGGGGUGUUGGUGGAAAGCGUUAUGGAGUGGUUUUAGAUGGGCUCACGGCCUAUCAGCUUGUUGGUGAGGUAAUGGCUUACCAAGGCGACGACGGGUAGCCGGCCUGAGAGGGUGACCGGCCACACUGGGACUGAGACACGGCCCAGACUCCUACGGGAGGCAGCAGUGGGGAAUAUUGCACAAUGGGCGCAAGCCUGAUGCAGCGACGCCGCGUGAGGGAUGACGGCCUUCGGGUUGUAAACCUCUGUUAGCAUCGAAGAAGCGAAAGUGACGGUAGGUGCAGAGAAAGCGCCGGCUAACUACGUGCCAGCAGCCGCGGUAAUACGUAGGGCGCGAGCGUUGUCCGGAAUUAUUGGGCGUAAAGAGCUUGUAGGCGGUUGGUCGCGUCUGCUGUGAAAGGCUGGGGCUUAACCCUGGUUUUGCAGUGGGUACGGGCUAACUAGAGUGCAGUAGGGGAGACUGGAAUUCCUGGUGUAGCGGUGGAAUGCGCAGAUAUCAGGAGGAACACCGAUGGCGAAGGUAGGUCUCUGGGCUGUAACUGACGCUGAGAAGCGAAAGCAUGGGAGCGAACAGGAUUAGAUACCCUGGUAGUCCAUGCCGUAAACGUUGGGCACUAGGUGUGGGGGACAUUCCACGUUUUCCGCGCCGUAGCUAACGCAUUAAGUGCCCCGCCUGGGGAGUACGGCCGCAAGGCUAAAACUCAAAGAAAUUGACGGGGGCCCGCACAAGCGGCGGAGCAUGCGGAUUAAUUCGAUGCAACGCGAAGAACCUUACCAAGGCUUGACAUAUACUGGACUGCGUCAGAGAUGGCGUUUCCCUUCGGGGCUGGUAUACAGGUGGUGCAUGGUUGUCGUCAGCUCGUGUCGUGAGAUGUUGGGUUAAGUCCCGCAACGAGCGCAACCCUCGUUCUAUGUUGCCAGCACGUGAUGGUGGGGACUCAUAGGAGACUGCCGGGGUUAACUCGGAGGAAGGUGGGGAUGACGUCAAAUCAUCAUGCCCCUUAUGUCUUGGGCUUCACGCAUGCUACAAUGGCCGGUACAGAAGGUUGCGAUACUGUGAGGUGGAGCUAAUCCCUAAAAGCCGGUCUCAGUUCGGAUUGGGGUCUGCAACUCGACCCCAUGAAGUCGGAGUCGCUAGUAAUCGCAGAAUCAGCAACGCUGCGGUGAAUACGUUCCCGGGCCUUGUACACACCGCCCGUC